AGCUAGAUUCUGCUGUGGUCCAUAGUGUCUAACGGAACUGGAAUGGCUCCUUUCGUCAGCCUCGAUUAAUAGAAAUCGACAGCUUAUAGCUCGAGUGCAACCUGAGGAUUCUCAAGCAUGAUUUUCGCUCAGAUUAUGUAGCAUUCUUCCGAUGAGGGAGGGCGAAAAUCACAAAAAGGAUCAUACAUCUACGGACUGCCAAAGAGUAAUCGUGCUCGUAAAAAGUGAAACAGAGUGAAAAUAUACCUAGCACAAGGAUAUUUUCCGUCAAUAUGGAAGACACCCAGAAUAGCAUUCGUGGAUGACUGAGUUGCAUUGCAAAUGUAGCUGCAGUUUAGGAUGAAAUAAUGAAAUUUUCCUCAGUUUCUUGGGCGGCUGAUCAUAGGACAAUGUGGAGAAGUUUGGUGAACUCGCACUUGGAUGCGCGCUGAUGAUGGAAUCGUCUCGGAAUGGAGACGUGUGGUAGUGUUGCGUGGUGGGCUGUGUGUGAGUGUCAGUUGGUCGGUGGAGAAGAGAAAAGCUUUUGUGUGCAACCCGUGAAAAUUUUCUCGGUUUUUCACCAACAUACUUGACGCGAAGUUGAAAAGUGUCUCUAGAUAAGUGUCUUUUGCAGUGGAAAUUUUCUGAAAUGUGUGCAGGAUUUGCGAAAAUGUGAAAUUUCUCCACGCAAGGCUUGGAAUAUCGGUGGAAAAUACAGCAUUCGGCUACAGGAAAAUGCAAGAAGUUGGCAUGAAAAAUCGAGGGCCUAUCUUUACUCAUUGUAGCAUUAAAAGAUGGAGAGUGAAACAAGGAGUGUAUAUGCAAAAGCAUUUUAUUACAAAAAGUGAUUAAAAUCAUGACGAUUCAAACCAAACAGUUACCAAAAAUCGAGAGAUUCAUAUGUAAUUUGAGUGGAUACCGUCUGGAAAAAUUGUUUUUCGACAAUGGAAACUAGCCAGUGCAAUCGCUUUGGAGUGACGUUAUGAGCGAAAAUCCAGCUGUGCAAUGGAACUGAUAUCGAAGCUGUAUCCACCGUAGGGCACAAUGGCCACCAUGCCAUUUGUACGACCGAGGAGCUGCACCGUCGAGUUGUACCAGCGAAAUUUGUAAGCCUGUUCAUUCGUAACGAAGAACUAAUUCACCCUGAAUGUGUCCACUAGCGGAAAAAGUGAAAAUGUUUACCAAAAGCAACCGCGACAUUCGUUUCUCAAGUGUAGCCAAUGGUGAAGACAAUGACAACAACUGCAGCGAGUAUCAGUUCUCAAAAUGUGAAACUAAACUGAAAAAAUACAAAGUGACAAAUUCCGAUGCAUAUCCAUCGGGCGAAUGUGUGAUUAAUGACGAGAGUAAUCUAGUGAACAAUAGCAACAAUAGUGCACAUAGUCACGGAUACUUUCUAUAACGAUUGCUAUUUUAAGAAAGCAUAGGCGUAGUCGUGUUUUAGUGAGUUGUAUAUAGUGUGAAGAAGGGAAAAAUCUGAUUUGUGUAGGAAACCGCAAACAUCUGCGAAAGAAUAACGAAAUAGCAUUUAAGUCAUACUUACUAAUAGUGCUUCGUUUUUGGUUUUGCAAGAUAGUGCAGUGAAAACGGCGCAUUAAGUAACAACUAACGACAACAACUUGAACGCUACCGCAGAUUCUGCAGAUAUAAAUAGCUUAACUAUAUUUACUGAUAAGAUAACCAAGCUUCGAAAUACGUAGAACAUCGUAUUUCCUUACAACACUAGGAUAUUACCAAAAUGGCCGAUAUGCCUGAUUUAUCCCAUCUGACACAGGAGGAACGUGCAAUCAUUGAAAAUGUUAUGCUACGUCAACGACAGGAGGAAGAGCGGGAGAAUGAGAUCAUGCGGAGGAAGCAGGACGAGGUGGCGACGCUCGUCGAUUCGAUCAGACAAAAAUCGGAGCAGCAGAAAAAGGCCGGCGUCGAGCUUGACGCUACUUGUCACAUUUGUCUCAAAACCAAAUUUGCGGAUGGCAUCGGACACAUCUGCAAUUAUUGCAACAUCCGUUGUUGUGCCAAAUGCGGAGGCAAAGUUACACUGCGUAACAAUAAGGUGAUAUGGGUAUGCAUUGUCUGCCGGAAGAAGCAGGAAUUGCUUUCUAAAACUGGACAAUGGAUCAACAAAAGCACCAGCCCGGACGGGACAGGCCGCCGGUACGAGGGAGAUCCAAGAGCCUUUCAAACACUUGACCCGCACGAUCCCUCCGACAAACGACCAAAACUGGAACGAGCAAAAAGUGCUGCUGAAAAGGAAAAUAACCCUAUGCAGCGUUCCGGUAGUCAACUUAGGCGACAGUAUUCUCAGCAAGAUGCUCCACCGCGGCGGUUGUCACAAUCAGACAGCGGGGUAGACGUAUCGACUGGGCCACCCCAAACACGAUUGCCAAUGCCUCGGAUGAAUCCCCAGGAUGGCCAACAGCAAGGUCCCUAUAGCCAGUAUAUGCCCGGUCUUCCUCAGCCCCCGUUGCAACAGACAUCGUAUCACCCGUCUCAUAUGAAUCCUCAGGUGCAGAUCACACGACCCAGUGGUAACGUGGGGAUGAGUGGCUAUCCACAGGAAGAUCCUUCUUUCUAUCAGGAUGAGAUUGAAGAUCUAAUGCGUGCUCAUCCGCAUUUGGUUCAUCCUCGGCAGCAGCAACACUACGCGGAGUCAAUGCAAUCCGCGGCACCCAGUUAUGGCAGCGGAAGCAGCAGUGGGAUAGUGUUGCCACCAGAACCAAUCAAAAAACACAAACGCCCAACGGGUGGUCCUUAUCUUCCACAGCAACGAUCUUACAGCAGUUCCGACGAAGAUAUUCGAUCUACGCCGGAAUACGAAGCCGGGCACCAAAAACAGUAUUUUGAUAAUCACUCUCGACUGAAUCCAAGCCUAACCGACUACCGGGCGAGUAAGCUGGAUGUACAACAAAGAAAUAGCUAUAAUCGAACGAAUCACAAUCGGUACCAAAGUCAGCAGUCGCACUCGCAAGCUCAGCAGCCACUACCACAGGUAGUGGUUGCCGAUAGCACCAUUACUUCUUUGGCGUACGAUAACAAUAAUCAUCACCACAGUAGUAGCCAUCAUCAGCAUAGUCACCAGUCAGUGCCGCAAGCCCAUCAAGUUCAUAAUAGCCAACAUCAGUAUAUUCAGCAGAACAGUCGCUACAACUCGAGUUCUGCUGGCAAUGAACAGCCGGACCCGUACUGGGAUGAACCGGCUGACAGUCGACGGUUCACCGAGCGAAGAAAGAAAACGGUGAGAUUCGAUGGACAGGAUGCCGAUGCCGACUGGGGACGUUGGGAGUCGGAACGUCAGGGAAGUCAAGAUUCAACGACAAAGGAUUCAGGCAUCGAUACCAGUAGUACAUUUACUAGUAGUGAAGAUUCAAAUCGAGGCGAUGGUCCAAAGAAUCCUGUUAGUUGGCAAGUGUCAGCAGAUGGCAGCCGUAUGAUUGGUCAUAUGGUACUGCUAAGAAAUGUUGACAGCGAAGACGUUUUAGGACUGAAAGUACGCGGUGGUCAAGUUCUACCAAACGAAGAAAAGGGAGCAAUUAUUGAACAAGUACAACGAGGUUCGAUAGCAGACCAGGAAGGACACAUUAGGCCAGGUGAUGAAGUGGUGGAAUGGAAUGGUCACUCAUUGCGCGGUAAAUCCGCACUAGACGUAUACGAUAUAGUCGAUGCUAGUAAGCUGGAACCAUUGGUAGAAAUACUCGUAACACGUGCGAUUUCGAUAAAUCGCAAAAACACUCAAGCAUCUUGGCGAAAAUCUCAUUCCCCGACGCGAGUUCAAACUCAACACAGAGGAGAAAGCUACAACCGGCGAGACAAGCCAAGUGUACUGGUAACGUCCCCAGGUUCACCGGACUUGCAUAGCGUACGUAAUUAUUCCACCAACCUCCGCUACCCAAAUAGACUGACACCGGCUGCGACAGCUUCGCAGCAGGAAAAUAGCGUCGGAGGACGGGUUCAGUUGAAGUUAGGCUUUGAACCAAGUUCUCUGCAGCUAAUCGUGACGAUCGUGUGCGCAAACGGGCUGGUAUCAAGGCACAACGGCGCAGCACGGAAUCCUUACGCCAAAAUAUGUUUGCUUCCCGAUCGAAGUGAAAAAUCCAAAAGACGAACGAAAACGUUAGCUCUGACCAACGAUCCUCGUUGGGGUCAAACGUUUGUAUACGAGGGCCUCCGAAGAGCUGACCUUCAGAACCGUCUGUUUGAAAUCACCCUAUGGGAUUACGUGCGCUUCGGUGCCAACGAUUUUCUCGGUGAAGCGAUUAUCGAACUGGCCACGCAUCCCCUGGACGACGAACCAGAUUGGUACACACUGCAGCCGCAUCAGGAGUCCCUGCGAGAUGCAUUACGUAGAGACGAUAGAGAUCCUGGCAACGAACUGGAUAUGAUUUUAUCACCGACCGAUCAUUUAUCGCCACCGAGCACCACUUCAAGGUACACUGACUCCGACACGACUUCCGAAUGCGAUAUCGAUGGUCUGAUGACUGCACGUGAUGGCGCUAGCGUAUCAUCCGUAGGAUCAUCAAGUCCUCCACCAGAGGUUGAUCUACAAGAGCGAAGGUCACGGCGGGAUAUGUCACCGCAGGGACGCAAACGAGUGGCUGGCAUGGUAGCAAAGGAUUUUCGAACGGUGUCGGGCGUAGGGCAGGGCUUUCAUAAUCAAAUGACGAAUGAGGCAUCCGCUUCCUACCGUCGGAACGGCACGAUGGCACUGAACCAACGGAGUCAAUCUGCGGCACCGAGUGAUAGCUACCGAGAUGAUCGUCGGGAUUCCCUAUCGCCACAAGAUGAUAGAUAUACCGAAUAUCCAGUUCUUCCAUUACACCAGUAUGCGCCAAGAUUUCAAUCACGAUCAGCGACUGCGACACCAACUGGUUCACCGAAGAAACGACAAUUACCACAAGUACCUCACGUGUCACGAAAUGCAGCAAUGCGAGAGCGGUUCGGACAGGAAUUCGAGGAGCGCAGUGGAGGACGUUUUUCCCGGUACCGACACCGCCAAAGUCAUCAUCUGCCAACGUAUCGGAGUACGGGGAUGGGAGUCGAUUUUAAUUCAGGAUGGGAACAACGCUAUACCGGACUUUCCGACAGUGAUCUGCCGACACACUCAUUAGACAGUAGAAUUAGACCUAGACACUCGUUAUCUCCGGAUAAGGAAUUUAUGGGUGAUUUUGCCGAUUCCGAUAUGGAGUCGGUAGUUAGUGUAACUUCAAGUGCUUUUUCAACUCAGUCGGAGCGACCGCGUGCAUCAAAAGGGAUAAGGAAUGCGCAUGACAGGCGUCUUCAGCAUAGAAGUCUCCCAUCGGGUUGGGCGACGGCUUCCAUGUGCGCUCUUCCAAGCAAGUACCCAUUUGGGCAGCCAGUCAGCGAGGCGGAACAAAAUACAACACUUCCCGAUGUUACACAAUCUGGUCUAAGUCCUCCUAACCUCGAUGGUGUACCUGAUCAAGGCUUUGCCCCUCCUUGCGAGUACCUCCCAGUACUUACCGAGAUGCCCCCUAGGCUCCCUGUAAUUCCCACUACUAGUGUUGUUGUUCCCUCGGCUACUGAAGAUAAUAGGCUUGUUCCAAGUCCUGCUGUUUCAACCUUCGAACAAUUUCCUGUCCCUCAGCCUCCAAGUAAUAGCUAUUAUAGCAAGCAAUGCAUUACGCUUAAUCAAGAUAAAAGCACAUUUCAGAGCUUUGUUGUUAAUCCUGGUAACGAUAAUGUAAUGACCACUUCUUUGAAUCUUUCAAACAUGUCGUCGACAGAACCAUCCUCAGUAGAGCUGAAGACAGGAUCGCUUCCGUGUGGUAAUUAUUUGGAAUACGGUGCCAAUACGAUGGCUAUGUCAUUACAAGGCGAUUCUUUCUACAACAACCAAGUACCAGCUGAUUGUCUCCAAAGGCGACGACCUUCGUACAUUACUCGUUCAAACACAUCUGAACCUAGUUUAAACACUAUGAAUAUUGUCCGUCGCAUGUCCAGAGAUCCAACUAAUCAGCAAAAUGAAUCUAUUUGCAUUUCAAACCUGUACAGACCUGUAAAUAAUCAGCAAGUCACUCCAGCAACUAAUCAGAUAAUACUGAAAUCCUCAUUUUCGGAUCAGAAUAUGCCGAAUAGUUUUGUUUACGAACAAAACGACCAUCAGCCGGGAAAUAUUUGCAUCUCAAAUGUGUACGAUCCUAAUACGGGAGUUAAGAAUCAAACCAUCACAUGCAUUCGAAACAGUACUGAGAAUUUGGGUGAUAGUAAUAUUCGCUAUUCCAGUACCCAAGGUGGCAGGGUGUGUGAAUUUUCAGCUCCAGAUCUUCAAUUUCGCUCUUCAAUCGGAAGUCUUGCUGAUUUACAUCCUAUCCAUCCGUACACCAAUCCGGCGAUGGUUGCGUCUUUAAAUUCUAAAGGAAUUGUACCGACGGCCAGUGCUCGCGUGGAGGAUGAUUACUAUGUGAGUGAUUUAGAGAACGAUAUGGGCGUUGUGCUUGGAAAGCCCGCCGUAUUACCGAAAUUACCGAAUAAAACACCGUUCUAUGGACGUACUGAAAUAGGAUUCAAGGAGACCUAUUUGGGAAACACAGUGUCAACACAAAGAGAUCAAAUAAGUCGUUCUCAUUCACUAGCUGCUAGAGAUAAAAUAAUUGAUAUCGAUUAUGACUCGGAUACUGGGUAUAAGACAAAAAGCGUUCGAAAAAAUGUAUUUUCCAGCAGUAUUGAAGAGAAAAUUUAUCGAAAAAGAACCAGAUCGCUAGAUGAAAACGGAUUACAAGAUGAAAAAUAUGUCGACACCCACUCUGAUACGUUUGGAUCUAAAUCAAGUUUAGAUAAGAGCAAUAUGACGCUUGAUAUUAUUAAAAACACUGAUGUUGCGGGCGGUCAGAAGUCAGAACGAAAUCCGGAAAAAGCUGUUCAAAAUGUUAAGAAGAAGAAGCAAGAAAAGUCUCACGAGAGUAAGAAAAGCGAAGAGAAGAUAUCAAAAUCACUCGUGAAAUCCAAAUCUUCGGCCUCUCCUGCCAAGAAGAGCUCUAAAGUGUCAAAAAAGUCAUCUAGUUCAACUUCAUUGAAUCGCUCUGGAUCUGCCAAGUCGAAAGCCUCAUCUUCCAACGCAACUACUACGAAAACUACUAAAGCCGCAGCAAAGCCAAAAUUCAAAGAAAUCGAUCCCAAGGAAGUGAAAGCAUCCAAGGAGAAAACAGAUAGCAAAUCUAGAAUAGAUGAAAUCAAAGGUGAAACCGGCGUGCUGUAUAGCAGCUCUGAAUCAAUCAAAUCGAUCAUCGAAGAGGUGCGGCUCGAGUUGUUGCAGAAACCGAAAAAUAUGAAGUACUUGAGUGAUGAAAGCCCAACAUUUUUAAACCGAAGCCACUCAUUUAGUGAUGGAGAAAUUAAUCACAUUAGAAGAACGAAUGAACAGUACGAUAAAUAUGAAUUCAUAGAAGGUCGUAAACAUUACAUCAUAAAGGAGGAUAAAUUGAACCGUAGACUGGAUUUCGGAAAAUACGAACAAGAGAGAGCAGUAGGGUAUGAACCUGAACGUAUUCAUAGUAGUAACAGAAAAGUAGCAGGCUGCAAUAGGAACGAUCCGUCCAAAGAACUGUUCAGAAAAUGCCCAACACGAAGCUCAAGCGUGGUUUCCAAUGAUGAAAAUCGUCAAGAUGACAGUGAAGAGGAUUGUUCCGACGAUGAUGUGUUUGAAAGUCCCUUUUCUAGGGGAAGAAAUUCCUCUUUCAAUGGUAAAUCUUCAACUAGACGCAAGGCUCGAUUUAAUACCCGCCGAACUUCCAGUUUGGAAGACUUGAAGAAGUUCGUUUCUCAACACAAAGAUGGUAAUAGUAGCGGUAGUAAGAACGAUACCACUCGACACAGUUCAGUCAGUAUUAAUGAAAAGCCAGAGUACUUUGAAUAUAGUAAAUCUCCUUCACCCCGCACCAAGUAUAGUGCUAGAAAUGCUAAUAAUGCUUCCAUUCGUUCCAAAUCCUCCAAUGGUAUCGCCCUUCUACAAACCGAACCAAAACGAACCUCGUUGAAAAAACCAUCGUCGGGUGGCUCCCCUGCUUCAAAACCGUCUGCGUCAUCAACGCUUCCGAAAUCGUCACGAAAUUCGUCCCAUCACCAUAAAAGUGAUUACGAUAUGAGAGACCGGAGUCGGUACGGCCCUAACGGUGGACGAGGGGAUGCCUAUCGACAGCGUGAUCGUGACCGAAACAGUAGUGACCAUGAGCGGGACCGUCUGAGUGACGGUCGGCGAGAAUCGCGGGAGCGUGCUGAACUGGACCGUAGUCUUUCGAAUAACGAGGGAACGCCUGAGGAUAAAAUAGACGGUAGCUUAAGUGACACGGCCGUGAUACAAAGCUUGGACUCGCGGCGCAAGCUAGAUCAACGAUCGCCCAAGAGUGAGACCCCAACGAGGGACCGAGAUCGCUUCGGUACGGGUAUGGGAAAGAAAAGUAGCUCCACAUCGCAACUGUCGGCAACAGACCAAGGAAUAUCGCCAUCAUCUUCAUCGUCCACAUCGCAACGCAAGCGAUCCUCAGCCGGAUCGAUCCAACGAUCGGUCGAAGUGACACCGAUUCCACCACAGUCGGCGGCCUAUCGUGCCGGAAGUUUACAUUCAAUCUCUAGCUCCGAGGGCUCCUCGUGGUCACCAUCGCUGCGGAUGGCCGGCGAUACCGGACCUUUGUCGGACUUCAUCGAGGGUUUGGGACCAGGACAGCUUGUCGGACGCCAAGUACUGGGUGCUCCUGCCUUAGGUGAUAUUCAACUGUCUAUGUACUAUCAGAAGGGUUCCUUAGAAGUUGAAGUGAUAAGAGCGAGAGAUUUGCAGGCACGUCCUGGCUCAAAAGUACUUCCAGCGCCUUAUGUUAAAGUGUAUUUAGUUUCCGGUAAAAAGUGUAUAGAAAAAGCUAAAACAACGACUGCUAGGAAAACGUUAGAUCCAUUAUAUCAACAACAAUUACUGUUUAGAGAACCAUUUGCUGGCUGCAUACUACAAGUGACGGUAUGGGGUGAUUACGGACGAAUGGAAGGAAAAAAAGUGUUCAUGGGUGUAGCUCAAAUAAUGCUGGACAACCUAAACCUAUCACAUUUAGUCAUCGGAUGGUACAAACUAUUCGGAACCACAUCACUGGUCAGUGGACCACCUAGUUUGGGUCUAUCUAGGCGAUCCUCAAUUGCAUCACUCGAUUCACUUAAGCUGUAAAACUCAUUGACAUCACUAUGUUUAAUUUUCUCCUUCGGUAUUGUUUUGGUUUUCGACUUUUUUAGUUCAGAUCUGUAUCUCUUCUGUUUUCGGUUCGUACUAUGAGAUGGUUUGGUGUUGUUGUUUUUUGAUACGAACUGGAAUUUUGUCUAGCAGCAGUCAUCGUUUUCUCUGUAUAGUGAAAAGAAUCCGCAUUAGAUACUAUAACUCGUCAGCUGGAGCAUCAGUUUUGGCAUAGCGUUCUCUACAAGUUGUGAAUACCUUCUUUCUCGUCAAGUUUGUUUAAUAUAGCUCUAUGAUAGUUGACACUCUAGCUAAUAGUAUCUUUUCGAGCACGAUCUUCUCGAGUUGAAGCUUGAAACACCCUCAACUCCCCUACCAGGAUGCUACACACUUUUGCUGAUUUUCAACGGAUUGCGAGCGGGAUCAGCAAAGAUUGCACUUCGUAUUGUGAAACUAUCUAGGUUUGUGUGAUUCGUAUUUACAUACCACUUUUCUUAAUUUCAAACGUUUUAGUAUGUUUCGGUAUGUCAUUUUGCCAGAAUUCUCGCAGUACUUAAAUAUCAAGAAUCAAGUCAUAACAUGGAAUCAUCAUUUCACUUGCCAUCAGAUACCACAAGUUUUAAAUCCUGUUAAUGUUGAUUCCAUAUCAGAGAACCACGGCGCUCGCAUUCCUAACUUUGCAUCUGGUAGCUUACUUACUUUUCCAGGUGCAAUCCGUAAACGCGGCAUCUAAAUAUGCUCAAAGUACGACAUCCCGUUCGCUUUACCCAUACUCUAACAGUGCUAUUGGAUUUAUAGUCUUAUUUAGUUAACCUACCACACUGGAUCUUGGUUUAGAUCCCUCCUUCGAUUUCAACCCUACAAUUGUCGCUUCUUUUGAGUUUGUUAAAGUUUCGUUCAUUUCGAAUCCUGUCAUUAGUUAUAUUAUUUAAUAGAGGCAAUGUCGAAAGCACUUUUAAAAUAGUGUGUUUUGUCACAAUGCAUCAAAUACCUAAAAUUAGUCACACUUGAAUCCGAUCGCUGAACUAAGCGCUAGAGCGUAUGCAUUGAGAUUAUGAAAAAAGAACUAAAAAUGUUUUAGUUGAUCAUAGUAAAAAUAACCUUGACAAACCUCAGCAUAAGUUUCAUCGGCGUACCUACUAUCUGGUUUACAAAAUCCACAUCCUUAUUUUUCGU